rnacentral:rRNA from 1 species
AUUGAACGCUGGCGGCAGGCCUAACACAUGCAAGUCGAACGGUAACAGGAAGCAGCUUGCUGCUUUGCUGACGAGUGGCGGACGGGUGAGUAAUGUCUGGGAAACUGCCUGAUGGAGGGGGAUAACUACUGGAAACGGUAGCUAAUACCGCAUAACGUCGCAAGACCAAAGAGGGGGACCUUCGGGCCUCUUGCCAUCGGAUGUGCCCAGAUGGGAUUAGCUUGUUGGUGGGGUAACGGCUCACCAAGGCGACGAUCCCUAGCUGGUCUGAGAGGAUGACCAGCCACACUGGAACUGAGACACGGUCCAGACUCCUACGGGAGGCAGCAGUGGGGAAUAUUGCACAAUGGGCGCAAGCCUGAUGCAGCCAUGCCGCGUGUAUGAAGAAGGCCUUCGGGUUGUAAAGUACUUUCAGCGGGGAGGAAGGGAGUAAAGUUAAUACCUUUACUCAUGGACGUUACCCGCAGAAGAAGCACCGGCUAACUCCGU